GAUGAACGCUGGCGGCGUGCCUAAUACAUGCAAGUCGAGCGAACAGACGAGGAGCUUGCUCCUCUGACGUUAGCGGCGGACGGGUGAGUAACACGUGGAUAACCUACCUAUAAGACUGGGAUAACUUCGGGAAACCGGAGCUAAUACCGGAUAAUAUAUUGAACCGCAUGGUUCAAUAGUGAAAGACGGUUUUGCUGUCACUUAUAGAUGGAUCCGCGCCGCAUUAGCUAGUUGGUAAGGUAACGGCUUACCAAGGCAACGAUGCGUAGCCGACCUGAGAGGGUGAUCGGCCACGCUGGAACUGAAACGCGGUCCAGACUCCUACGGGAGGCAGCAGUAGGGAAUCUUCCGCCAUGGGCGAAAGCCUGACGGAGCAACGCCGCGUGAGUGAUGAAGGUCUUCGGAUCGUAAAACUCUGUUGUUAGGGAAGAACAAAUGUGUAAGUAACUAUGCACGUCUUGACGGUACCUAAUCAGAAAGCCACGGCUAACUACGUG
rnacentral:rRNA from 1 species